rnacentral:rRNA from 1 species
UCAAGAAACUUCCACAAUGGGCGAAAGCCUGAUGGAGCGACGUCGCGUGAUGGACGAAGUGCUUCGGCACGUAAACAUCUUUUAUGUGGGAUGAAAUUAUUGACAGUACCACAUGAAUAAGGGGCUCCUAACUCUGUGCCAGCAGGAGCGGUAAUACAGAGGCCCCAAGCGUUAUCCGGAAUCACUGGGCGUAAAGGGUGUCGAGGCGGUUGUAUUAGUCGUUCGUAAAAUCUACGAGCUUAACUUGUAGGCGGCGAACGAAACGGUACGACUUGAGGUUUGGAGAGGUGCGUGGAACUCACGGUGUAGGGGUGAAAUCCGUUGAUAUCGUGGGAACACCAAAGGCGAAGGCAGUGCACUGGUACAUUCCUGACUCUGAGAUGCGAAAGCGUGGGGAGCAAAAAGGAUUAGAUACCCACGUAGUCCCUGAGCGGGCUGGCAAGGCGCAU